rnacentral:rRNA from 1 species
UACAGAGGGGGCAAGCGUUGUUCGGAAUUACUGGGCGUAAAGGGCGCGUAGGCGGCGUGUCAAGUCAGGCGUGAAAGCCCCGGGCUCAACCUGGGAACCGCGCUUGAGACUGGCAUGCUCGAGUUCGGGAGAGGAUGGUGGAAUUCCCAGUGUAGAGGUGAAAUUCGUAGAUAUUGGGAAGAACACCGAUGGCGAAGGCAGCCAUCUGGACCGACACUGACGCUGAGGCGCGAAAGCGUGGGGAGCAAACAGG